CUUCCCCCUGCCAAGCGGUCUUCAGCCUCCUCUCCCGCGUCUGGCUUUUCUUCGCCUGUACUCGCUCCCCAGGACCACUGGGACUCCGGCGGCAAGCGAUGUACACUGGACGUUGUCAUUUAAUGCCGAGCUUUCCCCCACAGCCCAUCUGUCCGAUGGUCACCCUGUGCAGAAAGAAAAGUGGGUGGGUGCCACUUUGGCAGAGGAGGGGUUGUCCAGACCCAGAUGGGGAGGACGGCCUUCCCAGUGCUCCCCUGUUCCUGUCCCCCUGCAGCUGGCCAACAGCUCUGCAAGCUUGCUGGGAACCACUUCCAGCACCACAGCGCCUGUGGGCCCAGAGAAGAUGCAGCUGGUCAGCUGCACCUGGCCCAGGCACCACCAGUACUGAAGGUACUCCUGCCUGGAGGAAGUGAGAGAAAACUCAUGUUCGUCCAGUCAAGCCUGAACUGGACUAAAUCGUAGAGCCACAACAGUAUCUUCGAGCAACCUGUAGAUCUACUUCCUUUUGUUUGAAAGUUAAAAUAAUUGUCUGUAAAAUUCAGUCCAGAAAUUCAGACCUGCUCUGAAGAUUCAUUGCAGGUUUUGAAGGAAUUUGGACAUGAGAAGUACUAUUGCAACUUAGUAAUGUAAAUGUUGUGGGAUUUUUUUCUCUGAGGAACCUAAGGUGUAGGCAAAGUUGACUGACUUUGUGGGCAAAAGUUAGGAAGCUGUCACUCUCAAUGAAGAAUGAGAAGUUAAAUGCUUUACAGAAAGUCAUACAGUAACAUGGAGUUCCUUUUUUCUUUCACCAAGACCUGUGCACCUACCUUUAAAAUUGAUGUUUUCCUAAUAAAAUAGAAAUAGUAAAAUGCAGAGCCAAAGCCACGUUUUCCAAUUAAAUGAUUUUCUGUCUUAGGUUCAUUAAUUUUCCCCUUAUGCACUGGUGUUAUACUAGCAACUAGUAUCUUCUGACAUACUUUGAUUGUUUUUAAAGGGGAGAAAGGAGGAAAAUUCAUUCUCUACCUCCCUGUUUGCUUGAUAUCUUCGAAAAUUGAUUUACCAGUGAUUUGCUCUUCCCUGUUAGUACUUUUCCCUGUAGUUUGUGCUACCAUUUGCCUUUCUAGUUCUUUCUCAACCUGAAAAUCCCUCUGGCUAAUCAGGUCUGGCAGCCUCUGCGCUGUGGUUCAUGUCAGCUUUCCAGGACUUUCCUGUAUUUCACAGAUCCAUGCUCCAGAGAUGUGUUAGGUGCCCCAGGGUCAUAAUUAAGGAGGAAACCACAGAGGGCAUUCGUAUAAAUUCAAAGAAAGUGACAGCUCAGGUUCCUCCAGGAAGAAGUCCUGCAAGCAGAUGUGCUAGCCCCUGAAGACCUUCUGGAACAGAGAAUGUUUUAAGAAUGGACUGGGGAUACAUAUCAUCAUUUGGAGUGGGAGAGUCUGGGCCAUAACAAAUGAAAGUAGGGAGAUCUUCAGAGAGUGGAGGUUGUGUCAGGGAGUCAUUUAAAGAUUGCCUUAGAUGGAUAGUUUGGAAUCCAAGGGAGUAUUUGGAUUUCCUUAGUUUCAAGAAUAACUGUUUUUACUGUUUUUUAUAAACAGUGCAGCUAGGUCACUUGACAGCAGCCACUAUACGGUCUAAUUUGCUGGUACGCAGUUCUUUGAUCUGCAGUUUUCCAUGCUUCAGGCUUGCCUCUGAUUUUACGUAUUUUAACGUCAAAUGCUUUUAAAAAGAAUAAAGUUUUGGGGUUUUUUGCUUAUUUGGGUUUUUUUGGUAAAACACUGUUUUUACAUAUGAUCAACUUUAUUAGUAGUUUUUUUCUUUAGCAAACACCUGUCUCCUUAUCCUUUGAAGCAGGAUCCCUUUUUUGAGUACGUCACUGUUCUCAUAAAAAGCCACUAUGUAUGUCCAAAUUUUGAGUGAGAGUUUUCACCUGUACAUUAGAUACCUUUUUUUUCGCAUUCAUCAGCCAAUACUUUGAGAUUGCUCACCCUCACUGGCUCACUGUUCCUAGUGUGUAGACUAUAGGGUCUACAUACCUAACCCUGUAUGCAGUCCACAACAAAGCAUGACUUCUUAUUGCUGUUCCCACUUCUUGUUGGUCACUGUGGGAGUGAACAUGAUAAUUGACAGCAAUUUUUAAUGAUUUUUCUGGGAAUGCAGAGGAGAAAAACCUUCUGUCCUGAAUGUAGAGGGUGAAAAGGAUGGGUGAAAGUACUCAGCUGGGAUGCAGAAUCUGGGGCAGGAGAAAGGAAGGAAGAGAAAGAAAUUGGGAUAGAGGUUUGGUAGAGCAGUCCUAUGUCAAGGUGUGUUCCAACCCAAGCCUCGUUUUCCCUUGGGCAAUUUAUUGUCAGAAACUCAGAGAUAUGUUGAAGGAAAUAAAGGGCAGAAUCCUUUAUUUCUCGUCUGUUGGUAGUAAAGAAUGAGAAUUUGAGUCUGGACCUAGGAAUAGAUGUGAGUCUGGGCUUUUUAUGAUCACUGAAAUUGGACUGAUGCUGCCUUAUUCAUAUGCUGUGUGGAUUUUAUUUUGAUUUUAUGAAUAAGGCUGCACUGCCCACUUUUCUGUUCUGUUCCUCCUGUUGGCAGAAUGUAACUCUUACCUUUCCAGCUUUGAUUGUGUUUAUUAUCUUUUUUUGAAGCAGUGGCUCCCACCUCUUUAUAGUUAUGACCAUACUGGCAGGCAUAAUUUGAAAAGACGCUAGUGUUUGUUGCAAAGCCAUCAGACUCCUUCUGCUUGUACUGAUGCCUGUCCCAGCAUGCUUGUUUGCCAUCUUUCCAUUUUGCAAAUGUGUCUUUUUGGGCUGAAAUCCAAACUGUCAUUAAAGUAAUUGUAAUUUGCAUA